rnacentral:rRNA from 1 species
AUGCUCCGCCUCCGAUGCUGCAUCCUCACCCAGCUCCUCUCGUCCUCCUCCGCUUCCCCGGUCUCUCCUCUCCGCGGCCGCUGCCCCUUGCAUUUCCCCAGGCUGGACCUCGCCGCCGGCUGCUCCGCAACAGCCUGGUGUCCGAAGCAACGGCUGCGCCCCCUUCCCGCGCCGAUCCCACGGUGCGGCUUCUUCCUCGAGCUGCUCGGGGCCUGCUUCGACGGCGGCGCCGUCGCAGGAGUCCUUGUCCAUGACGAAGAGGUUGAGCAGCUUGAGGAUGCAUUAGAAGAAACCCCGGCACGCCAUGGCCGGACGGAUCGAUUGAUUGAGCAGGCGGCUCCUGGAUGUAUUAAACCACGUGGGGAAGAAGCCCAGGCGCUCCUCGAGGAGGCAGUCAGCAUAGGGGAGGAAUCGGCCAGGGUCGCGCGCGAGGUAGGGGCUCUGGUCCCGGUGGUGCUUGAGGAGGCGAGCGGAAAUGGGGAAUGA